rnacentral:rRNA from 1 species
CCUACGGGAGGCAGCAGUGAGGAAUAUUGGUCAAUGGACGAGAGUCUGAACCAGCCAAGUAGCGUGAAGGAUGACUGCCCUAUGGGUUGUAAACUUCUUUUAUAUGGGAAUAAAACAGGGUAUGCAUACCCUCUUGUAUGUACCAUAUGAAUAAGGAUCGGCUAACUCCGUGCCCGAAGCCGCGGUAAUACGGAGGAGCCGGGCGUUAUCCGGAUUUAUUGGGUUUAAAGGGAGCGUAGGUGGAUUGUUAAGUCAGUUGUGAAAGUUUGCGGCUCAACCGUAAAAUUGCAGUUGAAACUGGCAGGCUUGAGUACAGUAGAGGUGGGCGGAAUUCGGGGUGUAGCGGUGAAAUGCUUAGAUAUCACGAAGAACUCCGAUUGCGAAGGCAGCUCACUGGACUGCAACUGACACUGAUGCUCGAAAGUGUGGGUAUCAAACAGGAUUAGAUACCCGGGUAGUC